rnacentral:rRNA from 1 species
GACGAAGGGGGCUAGCGUUGGUCGGAAUUACUGGGCGUAAAGGGCGCGUAGGCGGCCUCUUAAGUCGAACGUGAAAUCCCCGGGCUCAACCCGGGAACUGCGUCCGAUACUGGGAGGCUUGAAUCCGGGAGAGGGAUGUGGAAUUCCAGGUGUAGCGGUGAAAUGCGCAGAUAUCGGGAAGAACACCCGUGGCGAAGGCGGCUCUCUGGGACGGUACUGACGCUGAGACGCGAAAGCGUGGGGAGCGAACAGG